GACGAACGCUGGCGGCGUGCUUAACACAUGCCAGUCGAACGGUGACGGAGGAGCUUGCUCCUUCUGAUCAGUGGCGAACGGGUGUGUAUCACGUGAGCAAUCUGCCCCUGACUCUCGGAUAACUGCGGGAAACUGUAGCUAAUACCGGAUACGACGCUCGAAGGCAUCUUCUUCUCGUGGAAAGAAUUUCGAUAAGGGAUCAGCGCGCGGCCUAUCAGCUUUUUGGUGAGGUAAUGGCUCACCAAGGCGACGACGGAUAGCCGGCAUGAGAGGGGUACCGGGGACAAGAGGACUGAGAGAGGGACCAGACGCGUACGGGAGGCAGCAGUGGGGAAUAUGACACAAUAGGGGCAAGCCUGAUACAGAAACGCCGGGUGAGGAACGACGGCCUACGAGUUGUAAACAUAUGUUGAAAGGGAAGAAGCGAAAGUGACGGUACCUGCAGAGAAAGCACCGGCUAACUACGUG
rnacentral:rRNA from 1 species